rnacentral:rRNA from 1 species
AGUGAACGCUGGCGGUAGGCCUAACACAUGCAAGUCGAACGGCAGCACAGUAAGAGCUUGCUCUUACGGGUGGCGAGUGGUGGACGGGUGAGGAAUACAUCGGAAUCUACUUUUUCGUGGGGAUAACGUAGGGAAACUUACGCUAAUACCGCAUACGACCUACGGGUGAAAGCAGGGGAUCUUCGGACCUUGCGCGAUUGAAUGAGCCGAUGUCGGAUUAGCUAGUUGGCGGGGUAAAGGCCCACCAAGGCGACGAUCCGUAGCUGGUCUGAGAGGAUGAUCAGCCACACUGGAACUGAGACACGGUCCAGACUCCUACGGGAGGCAGCAGUGGGGAAUAUUGGACAAUGGGCGCAAGCCUGAUCCAGCCAUACCGCGUGGGUGAAGAAGGCCUUCGGGUUGUAAAGCCCUUUUGUUGGGAAAGAAAAGCAGCAGGUUAAGACCCCGCUGUUCUGACGGUACCCAAAGAAUAAGCACCGGCUAACUUCGUG